GGCCGCUUAGAUUAGUGGUUAUAUCGUGAGCUUUACAGUACGAUUCACACCGUACGACUUGUAUACGCUCAAUGUCGCAGGUUCGAUCCCUGCAGUGGUCA
rnacentral:tRNA from 1 species